ACGGAAGGCAGCAGUGAGGAAUAUUGGUCAAUGGGCGGAAGCCUGAACCGGCCAAGUCGCGUGAAGGAUGAAGGUAUUAUGUAUUGUAAACUUCUUUAGACGUAGAGAAAUAAGGGGGUCGUGACCUCUGAUGCUAGUAUACGUAGAAUAAGGAUCGGCUAACUCCGUGCCAGCAGCCGCGGUAAUACGGAGGAUCCGAGCGUUAUCCGGAUUUAUUGGGUUUAAAGGGUGCGCAGGCGGUCUUUUAAGUCAGUGGUUAAAUCGUGGAGCUUAACUCCAUCCCGCCAUUGAUACUGGAGGACUUGAUUGCGGUUGAGGUUGGCGGAAUUCGCCGUGUAGCGGUGAAAUGCAUAGAUAUGGCGAAGAACUCCGAUUGCGUAGGCAGCUGACCAAGCCGUAAAUGACGCUCAUGCACGAAAGUGCGGGGAUCGAACAGGAUUAGAUACCCUGGUA
rnacentral:rRNA from 1 species